rnacentral:lncRNA from 1 species
UCCUGGGACCGGCGGCCCUGUCCUUGCGCGUGGGAACAGUCAGGAACUAAAUGAAUUCUGGCUGGACUGUGCAUCAUUGAUAUUCUUGCAUUGUAAGUCAUUGUCUUUAUUUGUUUUGUUGCUUGUAAUCACAGGAUCUUGAUCAAGAAAUUUGAAAUACGUUGGCAGAGGAGUAGUGUUAUACUUUUCUUUAGAACUGGAGGGAAACUUUAAAAAAG